rnacentral:lncRNA from 1 species
UCGGCUCUCCCAUUGAACAGUUGAUGUUCCCCCUGUCGGGGUGCUUAUGACGUCAUAAGGACGGUCAGUUUGCAAGACGGUCACUUUGCAAGACGGUCAGUUUGUUGGACGGUCAGUUUUCAGGACGGUCACUUUGCAGGUCGGUCAGUUUCCUGGUCGGUCAGUUUGUAACCCCCCACUCAAAGACCUUAAAGAUGCAUCUCUUUAAGGUCUUUGCCCCCACUGUGUGAGACAUGUUCUUAUUUUUUGUAGGUUAUGUUGUAAUUUUAGCGGAAAAUAAUGGUUGUGUUUACUAAUAAUCAAUAAUUAUUAGUUUGCAAGUUAUAUAAAUAUUUUAGCUACAAAAGCCAAAGUUUCAAAAUAAAAUUAUUUUUCAAAAUCGAUUCGAGCUAGACUAUAUUGCUGUAUGAUAACAUAAAAUAAUGAUGAAGAUUGAUGUUAUUCUUCACUGUACCGUACCAGGUUCCAGAAAACAUGCAGUCUGUAAUCUACCCCCAUGUCAGUGUAGAGAGGCCUGUUCAUGAAGACACAAAAUUAUUCGACGACACCAAAACAUAUUACACAGUGUAGAUGGACGGAUAGAAAGCGUGAACAUCAAAAGCCAUCGUGUGUGUUACCCAGUUUCCAUUCUGUAUCUAACAAUAGGAACCAAGCAUCCAACAUCAUAACUUUAUUAUUAUAUAGUCCAGGUAAUGAAUGCUCAAAAGAGGGUAUAGAGAGAAAAGUUUGGAAGACUAUAUUUGACCCCGCAAUUUUGUUUUGGGUAUUAAGGAAGUAAAAAUAUCCCCACCCCUACCCAUUGUGCUAAGGGGGUGGGGUGGUUCAAAGGUACCAUUUUUUGGUUUCUCGCAUAUAACUCGAAAACUAUGUAUCUUACGGACAUAACUGUUGCAUACAAAAGUAAAGCUUAUAUAAUUUCCUACAAUAUUCAUCUCACAACUUUUCUAGUUUUCGAGAUAUCCACUCUUGAAUGUGUGACAUUUUUGAAAAAAACACGUUCGCCUCCAAUUUUUUUCUAUUUCUACUCUUAUAACUUUUUAAAAAUUGAUGGGAAAAAUCAAUGCAGAUUAUGAGCUCAUAGAGCCUCUUUCAGGGCUUAUAACUCUCCAACAAUGCAUCUUAAAAAUCAAUGCUUAUCGUAGGUUUGUAGAGCAUUAAAUUCUCUUUGAAAUGGUGUAUUAUUUCACUAUUCAAAGUUUCUGUUUCAUUGUUAUAGCAACUUUAAUGUAGGGGAUGGAAUUUCCAAUGCUGCAACAAUUAUUCAUUUGGCAAUUAAAUUUGAAGCGGGUGUCUGUGACACAAUUUUUGACGUUGCAGCUUAAUUUUGACUAGUUAGUAGAUUAACAUAGCAAAAGUGCACAUCUUUAUCCCCUCUGUUGAAGGUUUGGAACCGCUGAGUUGACACUAGUUGCAAUAUUGAAAAUGUUGCUACAUUGCACUAUCAUUCUUGAUCAUUUGUUACAUCACACAACUAUUAUAUGAAUACUUUAUACUGUUGUAACCAAUUUGAAUCAAUUGACAAUUCCUUUUUUACUGCUUAUUCAAAUUUACUAUUUGUUAUUUUUGAUUUUCAUUAAACGUCCUUUUUCCUACUUAGUGCAGUCAUCAUAACUUUUAAGACCAUUUGUAAAGUGCCACUUAUAUCAAUAAAUGCAAUCAUUUGUUACUGUUACAUUGUCUUACAAUUUCUUGGCGUCUACCUUGCUACCAGGUAUUUAGUAGUUUUACUCAUAAGUUUUAUGUGAGUUUGGGUAAAGGUAUUGACAAACAACAUGAACAACAUCAGCAAUCUAUAAAUUAUAUUUAUUAUUUAACAUACAUUUCAUUCAACUUAGUAUACAGUCCACUUGAAGUCCCUCAUACCAAACACAUCAGAUAUAAAGUUUUCGAGUUAUAUGUGAGAAACCAAAAAAUGUUACCUUUGAACCACCCCCUCCCCCUUAGCACAAGGGGUUGGGGGGGGACUUUUGAUAUGUUUACCCCCUUUCUUACCCUAAACAGAACUGCGGGGUCAAAAAUUGUCUUCCAAACUUUUCCCUCUAUAACCUUUCCUUGACUGCACUGUAUAUCAUCUAGUUAAUUUUGAUAUCACAUUAAUUAAAAAGCUUCCCUCAUAGUAUAAUUUUUCAAUAUUUUACUAAUUGUAUAAUACACAAGAAAUCAAUAUAUUGCCGAGGUUGUCAAAGAUGUGAAUUUUCAAUGUUUUUUGAUGUAAAUUAUCGCAAAAAACUAAUACCAUGGUUAGCUAUGCAUAAAGAGGCAUGAUAGCAUGAUUGUCAUUCUUUACUGAAUCGAAAUAAACUGUUAUAACUUUUUCUACUAUUAAUUUGGUUUUCAAUAAACUAGUUAUGAUCAGAUGCCUCAUUACUAAAUGCAAAAUUCAUGUCGGUUAUGUAGCUUUUCUGC